GACGAACGCUGGCGGCGUGCUUAACACAUGCAAGUCGAACGGUAAGGCCCUUCGGGGUACACGAAUGGCGAACGGGUGAGUAACACGUUGGUGAUCUGCCCUGCACUUCGGGAUAAGCCUGGGAAACUGGGUCUAAUACCGGAAAGGACCUAUGCCUGCAUGGGUGGUGGUGGAAAGCUUUUGCGGUGUGGGAUGGGCCCGCGGCCUAUCAGCUUGUUGGUGGGGUGAUGGCCUAACAAGGCGACGACGGGUAGCCGGCCUGAGAGGGUGAACGGCCACACUGGGACGGAGAUACGGCCCAGACUCCUACGGGGGGCAGCAGUGGGGAAUAUUGCACAAUGGGCGCAAGCCUGAUGCAGCGACGCCGCGUGAGGGAUGACGGCCUUCGGGUUGUAAACCUCUUUCAGCACCGACGAAGCGCAAGUGACGGUAGGUGCAGAAGAAGGACCGGCCAACUACGUGCCAGCCGCCGCGGUAA
rnacentral:rRNA from 1 species